GCUUUGCUAUUUUCAAAUCUGCCAAUAACUUGUUUCCCAUUAAGUCCUCAAGGUUACUUCUCUAAAUGAGCAUGGUUCCGGUAGACAGGUAAGCCAGGCAAUGAGCACAUCAAUACAUGCAAAUGUAAAAUAUAGCAGUCUAUAUAUGGUUUGUCUAUUAACACAUCUUUUUAAAG